rnacentral:rRNA from 1 species
UGCAGUCGAGCGGUAGCACAGAGAGCUUGCUCUCGGGUGACGAGCGGCGGACGGGUGAGUAAUGUCUGGGAAACUGCCUGAUGGAGGGGGAUAACUACUGGAAACGGUAGCUAAUACCGCAUAACGUCGCAAGACCAAAGUGGGGGACCUUCGGGCCUCAUGCCAUCAGAUGUGCCCAGAUGGGAUUAGCUAGUAGGUGGGGUAAUGGCUCACCUAGGCGACGAUCCCUAGCUGGUCUGAGAGGAUGACCAGCUACACUGGAACUGAGACACGGUCCAGACUCCUACGGGAGGCAGCAGUGGGGAAUAUUGCACAAUGGGCGCAAGCCUGAUGCAGCCAUGCCGCGUGUAUGAAGAAGGCCUUCGGGUUGUAAAGUACUUUCAGCGAGGAGGAAGGCAUUAAGGUUAAUAACCUUAGUGAUUGACGUUACUCGCAGAAGAAGCACCGGCUAACUCCGUGCCAGCAGCCGCGGUAAUACGGAGGGUGCAAGCGUUAAUCGGAAUUACUGGGCGUAAAGCGCACGCAGGCGGUCUGUCAAGUCGGAUGUGGAAUCCCCGGGCUCAACCUGGGAACUGCAUUCGAAACUGGCAGGCUAGAGUCUUGUAGAGGGGGGUAGAAUUCCAGGUGUAGCGGUGAAAUGCGUAGAGAUCUGGAGGAAUACCGGUGGCGAAGGCGGCCCCCUGGACAAGACUGACGCUCAGUGCGAAGCGU